rnacentral:rRNA from 1 species
UCGGGAAUUUUGGGCAAUGGGCGAAAGCCUGAUCCAGCAAUGCCGCGUGAGUGAAGAAGGCCUUCGGGUUGUAAAGCUCUUUUGUCAGGGAAGAAACGGUGAGAGCUAAUAUCUCUUGCUAAUGACGGUACCUGAAGAAUAAGCACCGGCUAACUACGUGCCAGCAGCCGCGGUAAUACGUAGGGUGCAAGCGUUAAUCGGAAUUACUGGGCGUAAAGCGUGCGCAGGCGGUUUUGUAAGUCUGAUGUGAAAUCCCCGGGCUCAACCUGGGAAUUGCAUUGGAGACUGCAAGGCUAGAAUCUGGCAGAGGGGGGUAGAAUUCCACGUGUAGCAGUGAAAUGCGUAGAUAUGUGGAGGAAUACCGAUGGCGAAGGCAGCCCCCUGGGAUAACACUGACGCUCAUGCACGAAAGCGUGGGGAGCAAACAGGAUUAGAUACCCUAGUAGUCCCUGAGCGGGCUGGCAAGGCGCAU